rnacentral:tRNA from 1 species
GGGGAAGUACUCAAGUUGGCCGAAGAGGCGCCCCUGCUAAGGGCGUAGGUCGCGUUUAGCGGCGCGAGGGUUCAAAUCCCUCCUUCUCCGCCA